GAUGAACGCUAGCGGCAGGCUUAAUACAUGCAAGUCGAGGGGCAGCGCAGUGUAGCAAUACAUGGGCGGCGACCGGCAGACGGGUGCGGAACACGUACACAACCUUCCUACAAGUGGGGAAUAGCCCAGAGAAAUUUGGAUUAAUACCCCGUAACAUAGCGAUGUGGCAUCACAUUGCUAUUAUAGCUUCGGCGCUUGUUGAUGGGUGUGCGGCUGAUUAGCUAGUUGGCGGGGUAACGGCCCACCAAGUCUACGAUCAGUAGCGGAUGUGAGAGCAUGAUCAGCCACCCGGGCACUGAGACACGGGCCCGACUCCUACGGGAGGCAGCAGUAAGGAAUAUUGGACAAUGGACGCAAGUCUGAUCCAGCCAUGCCGCGUGAAGGAUUAAGGUCCUCUGGAUUGUAAACUUCUUUUAUAAGGGACGAAAAAAGGUCUUUCUAGAUCGUCUGACGGUACCUUAUGAAUAAGCACCGGCUAACUCCGUGCCAGCCGCCGCCGUAACAC
rnacentral:rRNA from 1 species